rnacentral:rRNA from 1 species
CGGUGAUGUCAGAGCUUGCUCUGGCGGAUCAGUGGCGAACGGGUGAGUAACACGUGAGUAACCUGCCCCCGACUCUGGGAUAACUGCUAGAAAUGGUAGCUAAUACCGGAUAUGACGACUGGCCGCAUGGUCUGGUCGUGGAAAGAAUUUCGGUUGGGGAUGGACUCGCGGCCUAUCAGGUUGUUGGUGAGGUAAUGGCUCACCAAGCCUACGACGGGUAGCCGGCCUGAGAGGGUGACCGGCCACACUGGGACUGAGACACGGCCCAGACUCCUACGGGAGGCAGCAGUGGGGAAUAUUGCACAAUGGGCGCAAGCCUGAUGCAGCAACGCCGCGUGAGGGAUGACGGCCUUCGGGUUGUAAACCUCUUUUAGUAGGGAAGAAGCGAAAGUGACGGUACCUGCAGAAAAAGCACCGGCUAACUACGUGCCAGCAGCCGCGGUAAUACGUAGGGUGCAAGCGUUGUCCGGAAUUAUUGGGCGUAAAGAGCUCGUAGGCGGUUUGUCGCGUCUGCUGUGAAAUCCCGAGGCUCAACCUCGGGUCUGCAGUGGGUACGGGCAGACUAGAGUGCGGUAGGGGAGAUUGGAAUUCCUGGUGUAGCGGUGGAAUGCGCAGAUAUCAGGAGGAACACCGAUGGCGAAAGCAGAUCUCUGGGCCGUAACUGACGCUGAGGAGCGAAAGCAUGGGGAGCGAACAGGAUUAGAUACCC